rnacentral:rRNA from 1 species
AGCGAACGCUGGCGGCAGGCCUAACACAUGCAAGUCGAACGAACCUUUCGGGGUUAGUGGCGGACGGGUGAGUAACACGUGGGAACGUGCCUUUAGGUUCGGAAUAACUUAGGGAAACUUGCGCUAAUACCGAAUGCGCCCUUCGGGGGAAAGAUUUAUAGCCUUUAGAGCGGCCCGCUUAUGUUUAGCAAGUUGGUUGAGGUAAUGGCUCACCAAGGCGACGAUCAGUAGCUGGUCUGAGAGGAUGAUCAGCCACAUUGGAACUGAGACACGGCCCAAAAUCCUGCGGGAGGCAGCAGUGGGGAAUCUUGCGCAAUGGGGGAAAGGAUGAAGCAGCCAGGCCGCGUGAAUGAUGAAGGUCUGAGGGUUGUAAAGUUCUUUCACAGGGGACGAUAAUGACGGUACCCGGAGAAGAAGCCCCGGCUAACUUCGUG